rnacentral:rRNA from 1 species
UACAUGUGGGGCAAGCGUUGUUCGGAAUCACUGGGCGUAAAGGGCGCGUAGGCGGCCCUCCUUGUCGCGUGUGAAAGCCCCGGGCUCAACCUGGGAACGGCGCGCGAGACGGGGGGGCUGGAGUUCGGGAGAGGAGCGUGGAAUUCCCAGUGUAGAGGUGAAAUUCGUAGAUAUUGGGAAGAACACCGGUGGCGAAGGCGGCGCUCUGGACCGAGACUGACGCUGAGGCGCGAAAGCGUGGGGAGCAAACAGG